rnacentral:rRNA from 1 species
AAACAGAUAGCUAAUACCGGAUAACAACAGAUGAUGCCUAUCAACUGUUUAAAGAUGUUCUGCUAUCACUCUUGGGAUGGACCUGCGGUGCAUUAGCUAGUUGGUAGGGUAACGGGCCUACCAAGGCGAUGAUGCAUAGCCCGAGUUGAGAGACUGAUCGGGCCACAUUGGGACUGAGACACGGGCCCAAACUCCUACGGGAGGCAGCAGUAGGGGAAUCUUCCACAAUGGACGCAAAGUCUGAUGGAGCAAAACGCCGCGUGAGUGAAGAAGGGUUUCGGCUCGUAAAAGCUCUGUUGUUGGUGAAGAAGGACAGGGGUAGUAACUGACCCUUUGUUUGACGGUAAUCAAUUUAGAAAGUCACGGGCUAACUACGUGCCCAGCAGCCGCGUAAAU